UAAGUGAGCUAUCGUUAUCGCAACUGAAAUACCAUGUUGUGCAAGCUUUAUCUUCGUUCCCAAAGCCAGUAAAAGGUCACCACAACAUAUAAAUCGUGCAAUCGGUAGUUGAACAGUGAACAGUUCAAAAUGUACAAGUAUUUUGUUAUGGUGAUCUACAUGCUUGCUUGUUUUACCUCGAUUCAGGUCGUGGCAAAUUGGCGAAGGACAAGAUCAGCAGACGAUGGAUUUAUGUUUCCCGGUCAAGAGUCCACAAUAACUCCCAUGGAAUCGACAACUUUAGAGUUAGGAAAUAGGCAUAUUAUAGGCGCUAGCUCAAAUUGUGGUAUGGGUGAAGUUUCUGUGGAUGGGCUUUGCAGAAAAAGGUUUACCGUCAACAGAGGACGCACCAUGGUCACUCGAAAACCUAAGCGUGUUACUACCAGUUCUAGUAAUAUAAAUGUAACGAAAAAACACUAAAGAAACAAAUUUUUAUUUCUUCGGAGAAUUUCGUACUUAGUAGUCGAAAUCUUUGCCAUGUGACGACGUUAAGUAACAAAUAUUAGGUUAAGGUCUCGGUUAAGGUUUUAGUGAUAUUCGUCUACCAGUUCUUUAAUUUGAGGUAGCACAGAGACAAGACAAAUUAAGGACAUGAUGAGAAUGAAGUUUAUUUCGUAAUUAACAUUUUGGAAAUAAACUUCUAAUUUACUA